GUAACAACAGUAUUAUUACAGCUAUAGUUCAAAACGCCAAGUGAUUGGGAGAUGAUAAAAGAAAGAAACUAGGGUAUGGUGCGCUGCUGGAGAGGCAAUGCUCCCAAGGCUUGGCGUUCUGCUUUCUCCCUCUCGACCUGCAGUCUUGAGAAAGAUACUCAUGUUUCAUGGACAAAUCCAUAGCACGUAACAGACGCUGGUUUCUGGCAUCAACAAUCUCACGAGGCA
rnacentral:lncRNA from 1 species